UACGUAGGUGGCAAGCGUUGUCCGGAAUUAUUGGGCGUAAAGCGCGCGCAGGCGGUCCUUUAAGUCUGAUGUGAAAGCCCACGGCUCAACCGUGGAGGGUCAUUGGAAACUGGGGGACUUGAGUACAGAAGAGAAGAGUGGAAUUCCGCGUGUAGCGGUGAAAUGCGUAGAGAUGUGGAGGAACACCAGUGGCGAAGGCGACUCUUUGGUCUGUAACUGACGCUGAGGCGCGAAAGCGUGGGGAGCAAACAGG
rnacentral:rRNA from 1 species